UACGUAGGCAGCAAGCGUUUGUUCGGAGUUACUGGGCGUAAAGGGUGUGUAGGCGGUUGCUUAAGUUUGGUGUGAAAUCUCCCGGCUCAACUGGGAGGGUGCGCCGAAUACUGAGUGACUCGAGUGCGGGAGAGGAAAGUGGAAUUCCUGGUGUAGCGGUGAAAUGCGUAGAUAUCAGGAGGAACACCGGUGGUGUAGACGGCUUUCUGGACCGUAACUGACGCUGAAACAUGGAAAGCCAGGGGAGCGAACGGG
rnacentral:rRNA from 1 species